CCUACGGGAGGCAGCAGUAAGGAAUAUUGGUCAAUGGACGAAAGUCUGAACCAGCCAUGCCGCGUGAAGGAUGAAGGUCCUCUGGAUUGUAAACUUCUUUUAUCUGGGACGAAAAAAGGGCUUUCUAGCUCACUUGACGGUACCAGAGGAAUAAGCACCGGCUAACUCCGUGCCAGCAGCCGCGGUAAUACGGAGGGUGCAAGCGUUAUCCGGAUUUACUGGGUUUAAAGGGAGCGUAGGUGGGCAGGUAAGUCAGUGGUGAAAUCUCUGGGCUUAACCCGGAAACUGCCAUUGAUACUAUCUGUCUUGAAUAUCCUGGAGGUAAGCGGAAUAUGUCAUGUAGCGGUGAAAUGCUUAGAUAUGACAUAGAACACCCAUUGCGAAGGCAGCUUACUACGGGAUUAUUGACACUGAGGCUCGAAAGCGUGGGGAUCAAACAGGAUUAGAUACCCUGGUAGUCCACGCCCUAAACGAUGGAUACUCGACAUCAGCGAUACACUGUUGGUGUCUGAGCGAAAGCAUUAAGUAUCCCACCUGGGAAGUACGACCGCAAAGGUUGAAACUCAAAUGAAAUUGACGGCUGAGAGAGCGACGACGACGACGAGGGAGGAGG
rnacentral:rRNA from 1 species